GACGUAGGGCGCGAGCGUUGUCCGGAUUUAUUGGGCGUAAAGAGCUCGUAGGCGGCUUGUCGCGUCGUCCGUGAAAACCUGCAGCUCAACUGCAGGCUUGCGGUCGAUACGGGCAGGCUCGAGUUCGGUAGGGGAGACUGGAAUUCCUGGUGUAGCGGUGAAAUGCGCAGAUAUCAGGAGGAACACCGGUGGCGAAGGCGGGUCUCUGGACAGUUCCUGACGCUGAGGCACGAAGGCCAGGGGAGCAAACGGG
rnacentral:rRNA from 1 species